rnacentral:lncRNA from 1 species
UUACCGAUUCAGCCAUUCAGACCAAAACAAACGCACUGACCGAUUCAGCCAUUCAGAUUCAGCUCCAUUCAGCUCUAAACAAACACCCCCUUAAUCUUAUUGCAACACCAAAAAGAGAGAAAUAUUCAACUACUCGAAAAUUAAUUUCUACAAAUAUAAGUGAGAGAAAGAAUAGAAGUCCUAACAAAAGAGCUGAUCAAUUUAUAUAAUAAAACAGAACCAAUUUUGAAUAUUUCAUUUCACAAAGCAUAAGGACGGUUCAGAUUGAUUCUAAUUUAAUUCUUCCAACU